UCCAGGGUAGCCUAGUGGACAUGGCAUCUGCCUGGUAAACGGAACACUGUGGGUUCGAUUCCCAUCCCUGGAU
rnacentral:tRNA from 1 species